rnacentral:rRNA from 1 species
GGGGAAUCUUGCGCAAUGGCCGAAAGGCUGACGCAGCGACGCCGCGUGCGGGAUGACGGUCUUCGGAUUGUAAACCACUGUCGGGAGGGACGAAGUUCUGACGGUACCUCCAAAGGAAGCACCGGCUAACUCUGUGCCAGCAGCCGCGGUAAUACAGAGGGUGCGAGCGUUGUCCGGAAUCACUGGGCGUAAAGGGCGCGUAGGCGGCCUGGUAAGUCGGGGGUGAAACGCUGCGGCUCAACCGCAGCACUGCCUUCGAGACUGUCAGGCUGGAGCACGGUAGAGGCUGGUGGAAUUCCCGGUGUAGCGGUGGAAUGCGUAGAGAUCGGGAAGAACAUCGGUGGCGAAGGCGGCCAGCUGGGCCGUUGCUGACGCUGAGGCGCGACAGCGUGGGGAGCAAACA